rnacentral:rRNA from 1 species
GAUGAACGCUGGCGGCGUGCCUAAUACAUGCAAGUCGAGCGAACAGACGAGGAGCUUGCUCCUCUGACGUUAGCGGCGGACGGGUGAGUAACACGUGGAUAACCUACCUAUAAGACUGGGAUAACUUCGGGACACCGGAGCUAAUACCGGAUAAUAUAUUGAACCGCAUGGUUCAAUAGUGAAAGACGGUUUUGCUGUCACUUAUAGAUGGAUCCGCGCCGCAUUAGCUAGUUGGUAAGGUAACGGCUUACCAAGGCAACGAUGCGUAGCCGACCUGAGAGGGUGAUCGGCCACACUGGAACUGGGACACGGUGCAGACUCCUACGGGAGGCAGCAGUAGGGAAUCUUCCGCAAUGGGCGAAAGCCUGACGGAGCAACGACGCGUGAGUGAUGAAGGUCUUCGGAUCGUAAAACUCUGUUAUUAGGGAAGAACAAAUGUGUAAGUAACUAUGCACGUCUUGACGGUACCUAAUCAGAAAGCCACGGCUAACUACGUG